rnacentral:snRNA from 1 species
CUGCUUUGGCAGCACACAUGUUAAAAUGGGAAUGAUACAGAAAGAUUAGCAUGGCCCCUGCUCAAGGAUGACACGCAAAUUCGUGAAAUGUUCCAUAUUUUU